rfam:Desulfurivibrio alkaliphilus AHT2, complete genome.
GGGGGCGAAACGGCUUCGACGGGGAUAUAUAAGUACGGGCUGCAUGCCGAGGACUCCAUCACCCUCGCAAAUCCGGUGGAACUAAAUAUAGUCGCAGACGACUAUGCUUACGCAGCUGCCGCCUAAACAGCGAGCACUGCCGUCCUGCUGAACCGCUCCCGCGGGUUCAGAAUCAGGGCGUCGACUAGCGGGAUAGCUUUUGGAAAGGCCUGUGUUCCAACGGCGAAACUUAAGCAGGAUAGUGUCGCGGCUGUUGCGCUCCGGCGGCGGACCGGCACGAUAAACCCAUCCCCGGAGCUAAGCAUGUAGACGCCUGCUGCGGAGUAUUUCCGGACCCGGGUUCAACUCCCGGCGCCUCCACCA